rnacentral:tRNA from 1 species
UUAGUUUAAUUUUAAAAUAUAACUCUGAAGAAGUUGAGAUAUAUGAAAUAAUUAAA